CAGCGUGGCCUCGGGCCUCGUGGUGAAGGAUGCUGUCCCGAAAGAAAACCAAAAACGAAGUGUCCAAGCCGGCCGAGGUGCAGGGGAAGUACGUGAAGAAGGAGACGUCGCCUCUGCUUCGGAAUGCGUGGUGAUGUGUCUUAUGUUUGCAAACAUUGCGGGUAUCUCUCGACCGUGCUGCAAGUUGUGCGAAUUCUGGGGCAGAAUUCCUUAGUCUUGCUGCCGGAUGCAGAGUUGAGAAGAUCUUAUGCCUUUAUUCAUCCGGCAUGGUCCAACAAUUCCCAAACGAACUGAUAUCUGUCUUCCAGAUUCAAGCCCUAAUGCCUUUUCAGCUUCUGGAGAUGGGGUAGUUUGAAGAAACCAGAGUUUCCUUAGAACUCCAAUUCAAAGAAUACCUCAUGAAAUAAUGAGAAGAGAAAGCAACAGAUUAGCUGCACCUUCUUAUCUUGCCAGAAGUCUAGCAGAUGUCCCUAGAGAGUAUGGCUCUUCUCAGUCAUUUGUAACGGAAGUUAAUUUUGCUGUUGAAAAUGGAGACUCUGGUUCCCGAUAUUAUUAUUCAGACAAUUUUCUUGAUGGUCAGAGAAAGCGGCCACUUGGAGAUCGUACACAUGAAGAAUACAGAUAUUAUGAAUACAACCAUGAUUUCUUCCAAAGAAUGCCUCAGAAUCAGGGGAGGCAUGCUUCAGGUAUUGGGAGAGUUGCUACUACAUCUUUAGGAAAUUUGACUAACCAGGUUCUGAAGAUUUACCCCUUCCUCCUGGCUGGUCUGUGGACUGGACAAUGAAAGGGAGAAAAUACUAUAUAGAUCAUCACACAAAUACAACUCACUGGAGCCAACCUCUUGAGCGAGAAGGCCUUCUUCCAGGAUGGGAGCGAGUUGAGUCAUCAGAAUUUGGAAACUAUUAUGUAGAUCACACAAAUAAGAAGGCUCAGUAUAGGCAUCCCUUUGCUCCUAGUGUACCUCAGUAUGAUCAGCCACCUCCUGUCACUUACCAGCCACAGCAAACUGAAAGAAAUUAGUCCCUUCUGGUACCUGCAAAUCCAUAUCAUACUGCAGAAAUUCCUGACUGGCUUCAGGUGUAUGCUCGAGCCACUGUGAAAUAUGACCACAUCCUGCAGUGGGAACUCUUCCAGCUGGCUGACCUGGAUACAUACCAGGGAAUGCUAAAGUCGCUCUUCAUGAAAGAAUUGGAGCAGAUUGUUAAGAUGUAUGAAGCAUACAGACAAGCUCUUCUUACAGAGUUGGAAAACCGAAAGCAGAGACAGCAGUGGUAUGCCCAACAACAUGAAAAAAAUUUUUGAGCUGAUUUUUUAAAAAAUAAAAUUUAAGUUUUAUAAGAGCUUUAAAAUAUUUUCACAGAUAGAAAAUAGCAAACAAGUACUUUGGUUAACAAACACAGCUUCCUUUGUGGAAAUUAUAAAAUUCUAACUUUACAUGUAUUUUGUUAUUAGAAAGUUUCUUUUAUUGAACAAGAAAAAUUAGUCUAUCAUUUGAAGAGCCAAUAUGGCAAACACUUUCAAGUGUUACAUAUUAGGAAACUGCUUUGGUAUUCUUGAUGGAAAAAAUGCAGCAGGAAAUGUCAUUAUGAACAGAUGUUAAAUAGGAAAUUAUCACUUGUUAACUUCUUAUGGCAGUAGUACCUUUCUUUAAAAAAAAAAAAAGAAUCUGCAGUAUUUUAAAAAAAAUGUUUACCACUCUAGUAUGAAAUAUUUUCUGGAAAGGGAUGGUUUAAAUAUUACCAUGAGGUAGUUUAAAUAUAAAAUAGGAUUUAAAACCUUAUUGUAAUAAAUAUUUAUAUAUGAUGUCUGUUUGUCUUCCCUCCUCCAAAGUAAGGGACCCAGCUGGGGGACGUGGUGGCUGAUACCUGUAAUCCGAGCACUUUGGGAAGCCGAGGUCGAUGGAUCUCUUGAGCUCACCAGUUUGAGACCAGCCUGGGCAACAUGGUGAAACCCCAUCUCUACAAAAAAUACAAAAAAAAAUUAGCCAGGUAUGAUGGUAUGUUUCUGUAGUCUCAGUUACUUGGGAGGCUGAGGUCAGAGGAUGGCUUGAGCCGGAGAGGCAGAGGCUGCAGGGUCAAGAUUGUACCACUUGCACUGCAGCCUGGGUGAGAGAGCUAGACCUUGUCUCAAAAAAUAAGAAAUAAAGAAAUAGAAACAUAGGAACCUUUUGAAAGCAUGUUGAGAAAAUACUUUUUAUUAUGAAUGGGUGAUGGGCAUUUUAAUCUUUCAGGAGUACAUAUAAGCAUAAGUACUUAGCCUGUUUGAGGAAGGUGUGUAGAAGCUCAAAGUUGCUAAAAUCAACUUCCGUAUUUUCAGCCAGGGCUGUUACUGCAUUUAGCAUGGCUCUGAUGAGACAGUGGAGAGUUCCUGACAGCAUAGCCUACUGCCUUCUGACAGACUGGGUUGAGCUACCAAAAAUGACAAUCAGGGAUUCAAAAAAAAUGUUGGUCAUUAAAUCAAUUUUAUAUUAUUACUUUUUAAUCUUCUAAGUAUUUGUCACAGGACUUUAAAACCGUGUAUUUCCUUCGUAAUUUUUCUCCCCUUUUGGAUUAAUAGUUGUUAAAACACUUUUCAUAAUUAGUGCUGUACAUUUGAUUGCAUACAAAUUGGUGAUACUUCUAAACUAUAACUAUAAAUCUCUAGAAUUCUGUGAAUUUCAACAUUAUUUGAAGUAGUUCUUCAGUUACAUAUACAUGUGUCGUAAAUAUGUAAAUAAACUUUUAGCUUAGGAAGUCUUCCAGAAUACAAGCUACUCCCAGUUAUCAGUGAGUUUGAACUGUUGAUGAAAUGUUAACAGUGUUAAGUGUUUGCUUUUAUAUAACAAGUUUAUUAAAUAUAUUUUUGUGGAAAAAAA